UCUGCUCUAGUUUAAAUUAAAACUUUAGCUUGUCAGGCUAGGAAUAUUUAUAAAAAAUGAGAAGAG
rnacentral:tRNA from 1 species